UACGUAGGGUGCAAGCGUUGUCCGGAAUUAUUGGGCGUAAAGAGCUCGUAGGCGGUUUGUCGCGUCUGCCGUGAAAGUCCAGGGCUCAACCCUGGGAUGCCGGUGGAUACUGUCGGACUAGAGUACGGAAGAGGCGAGUGGAAUUCCCGGUGUAGCGGUGAAAUGCGCAGAUAUCGGGAGGAACACCAAUUGCGAAGGCAGCUCGCUGGGACGUCACUGACGCUGAGACGCGAAAGCGUGGGGAGCAAACAGG
rnacentral:rRNA from 1 species